UACAGAGGGUGCGAGCGUUAAUCGGAAUUACUGGGCGUAAAGCGCGCGUAGGCGGCUUUGCAAGUCGGGUGUGAAAUCCCCAGGCUUAACCUGGGAACUGCAUUCGAGACUGCAUUGCUAGAGUAUGGGAGAGGGAAGUGGAAUUUCAGGUGUAGCGGUGAAAUGCGUAGAUAUUCGCAAGAACACCAGUGGCGAAGGCGGCUCACUGGCCCGGUACUGACGCUGAGG
rnacentral:rRNA from 1 species